rnacentral:tRNA from 1 species
GGGCCGUUAGCUCACUUGGUAGAGCGUACGCAUGGCAUGCGUAAGGUAGCCGGUUCGAUCCCGGCACGGUCCA